GGAUUAGAUACCCUGGUAGUCCACGCCGUAAACGAUGUCUACUAGUCGUUGGGUCCCUUGAGGACUUAGUGACGCAGCUAACGCAAUAAGUAGACCGCCUGGGGAGUACGGCCGCAAGGUUAAAACUCAAAUGAAUUGACGGGGGCCCGCACAAGCGGUGGAGCAUGUGGUUUAAUUCGAUGCAACGCGAAGAACCUUACCUGGUCUUGACAUACACAGAAUCUUGUAGAGAUACGAGAGUGCCUUCGGGAAUUGUGAUACAGGUGCUGCAUGGCUGUCGUCAGCUCGUGCCG
rnacentral:rRNA from 1 species